GAAAGCAUGGGGAGCGAACAGGAUUAGAUACCCUGGUAGUCCAUGCCGUAAACGUUGGGCACUAGGUGUGGGGGACAUUCCACGUUUUCCGCGCCGUAGCUAACGCAUUAAGUGCCCCGCCUGGGGAGUACGGCCGCAAGGCUAAAACUCAAAGGAAUUGACGGGGGCCCGCACAAGCGGCGGAGCAUGCGGAUUAAUUCGAUGCAACGCGAAGAACCUUACCAAGGCUUGACAUGGGCCGGACCGGGCUGGAAACAGUCCUUCCCCUUUGGGGCCGGUUCACAGGUGGUGCAUGGUUGUCGUCAGCUCGUGUCGUGAGAUGUUGGGUUAAGUCCCGCAACGAGCGCAACCCUCGUUCCAUGUUGCCAGCGCGUAAUGGC
rnacentral:rRNA from 1 species